AGAAAUAAGCCGCGCUGCCUUCUAGCAGUCUUAUUCCCAGGUAAGCAAGCAUAGGAUUCCAGCCUGCCUAAGCCUUCCAUUUGUAGCCAGCCAGUCUGUAGGAUGGUGAAAGAAGAGGCGGCAAGGCCCAUUUCCAUCAGCCGUAUUUUAUUUUUAUUUUGCUAGUCACACAUCUUAUGAAAACAGGAUUGUAAUAGAGAUUAAGGAGAACAGAUAGCCAUUUCUUUAACAUGCAAAGAAGGAACCUGUGACUUUUCAGAUGUUGGACUCCCAUCAGCCCCAGCCAGCUAAGGCAAAGGUCAGGGAUGAUGGGAGUCCAAAAACCAGUCUUUGCUCCAUGUUAGAUUCUAUGUGUGAAUCCCACCCCCAAAGUAAUUCAACCUACCUCAAGGGUUGUUGUGAGGAUAGGUGAAGAACCAUGUACACCACCAUGAACUCCUUGGAGCAAAGUCAGGCUAUAACUGUAAAAUAUAUCUGCCUUUCAUAGUCCAGUAGCAAUUUUAGUGCUUUAUUUCUUAGCACUAUUACUCCCUGCCCCCACCAUUGAUGACCACUUUCUCUCAUUCUACCAGCUUCGCCCAUUUUCCUCCUGUCAUGGUUUAUAAAGUGAGAACUGUCAAAUGAUAAUUGUUUUAUGUGAGUUUUUCUAAAUAACAUAGGCAGAGGUGUAUGAAUACUUCAUUUUGUUUAUGGCAAGAAAACUGUCUCUGCAAGGAAAGAUGGGGUUUGCCCAGCAGUGCUUCUUAGUGGAUCAAAGGGUUGAUCCCAGGUAAGAAAGCAGCUACAGCAGAAACGAGGCAACCCAAAGCUCUCAAUGCUACUGUCAAGGAUGUUCUUUAGGAAAGGGCAAAUCCUAUCUAGUUGGGCCCUGAGAGACUAGCUGAAAAGGUGCUUCACGGUUUAUGUUUGAAAAGGAACCAGUAAGUUCACAAAUGUUCUAAAAUAAACUGUAAAAUGCCACUUUGAACUCAAGCAAAAUGUGCUACAAAUAAUUUACAUGAUUGAGACACAUCUUGGGCGAAAAGAUAUAGUGGGCAAAGAAUAAUUUAUAGCCCUGAAGAACUGGCCUGCUCAAGACUUUAUGAAAAAUACAAAUCAUUGGGGUGGCAGUGCAGCAAAUUUUCUGGACAAUACAGUAAAUCUACCACAUGGGUAGUAUGAGGCUGGAUUCACACCAGAGAGACUUAAACAACCAAGUGAUCUAGAUAUAAUUUGGCAUUGAACCAGAAGACCUCAGGUUUAUAUGGCUGCAGUUGGCCAUCCCAAAAUGCAGAAUUAUGCAACUUGCAGAGGUACUGCCUUGUCAUAUUUUCAGAUUUAGAUUGUGGAAGAUAACUUUAUCCAAGAUCUGUUAAAUCGGCUAGCAGAAUCAGAACCUCUUCUUUGGCAUGACAUUCUGGAGCAAAGAAAGUGCUGGUGAGAGGCUGUUGGAAGGUGACUUUCCCAGCUCUCCAAGAAGCCUCUCUUGAGUGACCCUCCUGAAUAGGAAAAAGAAUCACAAAAAAUAGACAUCCUGCUCACAGGAGGUGCUUCUGUCUGCUUUUUAGACAUCCACAACUUUCCACGAACCAUUCUUCACCCAUUCAGGAGCAUUUCGCAACCCUUAGAAUGUUUUUUGAGGAACUUGGAAAACUACUGGGAGCAAGAGAGGUUGGGGAAGUCAUAACCUAAGAAAAAAGCCCUGCUGGCUCAGACCAAAGGCCCAUGUAAUCUAGCAUUUUGUGGGCAAGCUUAUACCUGCAUGAAUAUCCCACUUUUAGCUGCAUUCAUUUCCUGAAACAUAAUUGUGUUGUAGGAGAUUCAUGAGAUAUACUGCCCCCCUACCCUGGCUGGAUCACACCAAAGGCAAGGCCUAUCCAGCAUUCUGUUUAGUAGCCAGCCUAUAUGAGAAGCCCACAAUCAAGGAAUGAGCACAACAGCAUGCACCCUUCUCUCCUACUCAUGCUUCCCGGCGAUUCAUUUUCAGAAGCAUCAGACUAGAUACAGUGGCAAGUCAAUUCCAUUGUUAAACUGAAUGCUGUUUGAAGUACAGUGGUACCUCAGGUUAAGUAUUUAAUUCGUUCUGGAGGUCCAUUCUUAACCUGAAACUGUUCUUAACCUGAAGUGCCACUUUAGCUAAUGGGGCCUCCCGCUGCUGCCACGCCACCGGAGCACGAUUUCUGUUCUCAUCCUGAAGCAAAGUUCUUAACCCGAGGUACUAUUUCUGGGUUAGCGGAGUCUCUGUAACCUGAAGCUUAUGUAACCCGAGGUACCACUGUACUUCAUUUUGUCCUGAAUCUCUCACCAUUCAACUUUAAUGGUUGAUCCCAGAGUCUAGUAUUAUGGGAGACCUAUCCACCUUUUCUACAGCACCAUGCAUGGCAUGCUUUGGCAGCCCCAUGCUUCCCUGGAUGCAAGCAUCAUUUUUAAAACAACUGCUAGACAGGCUUCAUGAAAUAGUGACUGGAAGCACUGUAUCAAUCAGGUCCUGGUUUAACAUUUGAAUUUUUAAUCAGUUUUCACAUUGAGAUAAGGAAUAAGACACUUGCUGCUCUGCACUGAAAUAAAGUUAAUUAUGUAGUUCAGGGCUGGGGGGAAAUUGCUUUCCAGAAGUUGCUGAACCACCACUCCCAUAAUCUCUUACAAACAUUGGCCAUGUUGGCCAGGACUGAUGUAAGUUGGAGUCCAACAUUUGGGGCUGCAGAUACCCCACACUGAUGUAGUUACUAAAAAAAGUUGUUGAAAUAAUGUCAUGGUGCAAAAAGAAAACCCAGACACCAGAGUAAUUUUACAAUAAGCAUUUUAAUGUAUUUGUUUAAAAUACAGUGAUUUGACACAUUUCAGUGAUGAUACCAGAAAUUUUAUAGUAACAGGUAACUAUGGAUAAUUAACUUUCAUUUUUGUUAUCUACCUCUUUUUCUUUUACAUUAUGAAGCUCACCUGAAAUAUUCCACUCCAGUAUACCUUCAGGACAGGAAGAACUGGGCAAGAAAACUCCCCCCAGAAAAAAAAGGGGGGACACAGUUCAUGCAAAUAAAUACCAACCUUGUUAUUGUUAGAUCUGUUCAAAUAUUCUCAGGAAGUAUCAGAAUUGCUCAAAUAAACUAGAAAUAAAGGGUGGUCAUCAAGAGUGAACACUGCAUAUUUAUCAAACCAUUGCUUUUUGCCCUGUCAUUACCAUUGUUUUAUUUUGUCUAUGCUAGAGGCUUCUGUUGUGCAACCCUCCCCAAGGCUUCUCUAGAAUGGAAUGCCAAGGUCUCUUGCAAAAGUACUGGCUGGUCACAACAUAAAAAUUACUCUGCUCCCGAGGCCUGAAAUGCAUACAGGAUUGCCCUGUUGCCAUACUUUUAAAAACAGCAACUUGGAAGUUACUUAAAAUACUUUCCCCCCACCCCCCAUUCUAAUAUUGCCAGGUAUUUUGGCAACCAGUCUUAUUUCUGUUCCACUAACCUAUGUUCAGCUGCUGACUUUUCAACUAAAUGUUAAAAAAGAUUCAGAGGACUUUCUCCCAGUGUUAAAGCUAAAAAGCUAGAAUUAGCAUUGUGCUUUGCUCGUUCCGAUGGUGUUGGAUUUUUUUUUUGUGCUGGAGUGGAGGAAAAAGAUAACUUUAAUGCAUGGAAGCUGCCAGUAGCUUCUCCAGGUAUAUUAUUUUUUAAAAGUUGGAGUGAGGGUGGAGAUGCAAAAUCCCUAUCCAUAGAAGAAUGCAAGCCCCGCCCCUAACUUUUAAAAAUUGUAAAUGUCAGACACCAGCAGGAGGAAGAAUGUGUUGUUCUUUAAGUGCUCUCAAGAGACACUAAUCAGGGGGUAGUCAAUGCAGUGCCCUCCAAAUGUUGUUUACAGCUACCAUCACUCCUAAGUACAGGCCAUGCUGGCUGAGAGUUACAGUUCAAAACACCUGGAAAGCACUACAUUGGACCUCCAUGCAGUAACCAACAGGCUCCCCUGCAAUUAGGGCAGUGAGGGAGGGGAAGGCACACUAAUUCAGCAGCUAACGGGCAAGAUCCCAGGAACGAUUCAACAAGUUGCGAAACAUCAUCAGGAUCUGACGCAAAUCACUAUGACUGCAUAUGCACCAUACAUUUAAAGCACACACCUGAAGAAUCGUAAGAACAGUAGUUUGAUAAGAGUGCUGGGAAUUGUAGCUCCAUGAGGUGCAAACCACAGUUCCCAGGAAGCAUGGGUGGGUGGGUGUGCUCGAAAUAGUUUGUGUACACCACUAAAUCACUCUAAUGUGAUAAACAACCCCUUGUCUAGGAAGACUUAGAAUGAUAUCCAACGUCAGUCAUACUCAAGACUCACUGGAAAAAAUGAAUUAACAUAGCUUGUUUGCACUUUAACUACCUGUAGUUUUUAAUCUAAGGACUCAGCUAUACAGCUGCAAAUAAAACAGUGUUUUAAGUGCAAUAUACAAUGUUACACUAGAUAGCGAUAGUGAGCCUUAUGCUAAGUUCAAUGUAUUUUUAAAAAUGUUUUCUUUUUUUUUUAAAAAAAAAGCAUUUUCAGAACGAUUUUUAUAUUUGUGUAGAUUCCACCUAAGUGCCCUGAAAUGUAUCCAUACCAAUAUUUAUUUGCCCCCAAGUAUUUAAAAUUUAAUUCUCAAAUCUGAGCAAAUGCUUGGUGUUAGUAAAGUGGCCGAUGACCACUUAAAUCAAAUGUAGCAACACACUAAAGCACAUGUAUUAUGCAAUCACAUUCUAUGAGAUUCCUCUUAUUCAGAUUAGAAUAAGAAAUGUGCCAGAGAACAAUACCCACAAUAUUCAAGAGGCUACUUAUAUCCCUCAAUGCAACUAUGCCAUUGUCUCCCCAACAGGAAGAAUCCCAGAUCCGUAACAAAAAAGACAACACUGUAGAUGCAUGCAUAUGUUAAUAACCCGAAACAAUUCAUUCUGAAAACCUAGAACUUAAUUCAACUUGCAUAAACUUUAAACAUUAACCUUCACUGAAGUUGCAGAAAACCACCUCAAUGAUCUUUGUUUACUAAGGUAGCUGGUGACCACAGAUAUAUUUUCUAGUGCUUACAAGAAAAUUAAAUUGUAUUUGACAAGAGAAGUCAACGUGUCACACCUGUACACAACCAGCUGUCCUGUAUACUACACCAUUUCUACCCCUAUUUCUAGGACCAGAAAAAAGUUUUUCCUGAAACUUCCAGCAUUUGGCUUCAUUGGAUGGUCAAAAUUAUAGAAUUAUAGAGUUAUUCUUCCUACCAUACAUGAUUUUCUACAUCCUUAUCAUCACUUCUUGGCUUUUUGGGUAAGAUCAAGUGUACUCACCUCUUUUCUAAAAUAAAGAGCCUGAAUGUUGUUAAGUUUUCCUUAUGCACUUGUUGUUCCAGUCCCAUGAUCCAAUUUGGUUGCCUUUUUCUGAACCUUUUCCAACUUGAGGUGACCAAAACUGCACACAGUAUUUCAAGUGUGGUCUCACCAGAUAUGUAUAACAUUAUAUUGACAGUUUUAAAGAUCCCGAACGUGGACAUCACUUUUGCUAUUUGGUUCACGCUUAUCCUCUGUGUGUCUCAUUUCUGGCCAGUCACUGAAAAUUCAGGUUCCAUUAGCAUAUACUUUGAAUUGCAUUUGCCAUCUUACUGCCCAUUCACCCAGUUUGGAGAUCCUUUUGGAACUGCCUGCAAUUCUUUUUAGCCACAUUGAACAAUUUGCUAUCAACAGCAAAUUUGGCUACCUCCCUGAUCAACCCAAACGCUAGAUCAUUAAUGAAUACAUUAAGAAGUACAGGUCCCAUACUGAUCCUUUGGAGUCCUCCACUGGGAGAACUGUCCAUUUAUUCUUACUCUGUGCUUCUUGCUACUUAACCAAUUCCUGAUCCAUAAGAGGACCUCUCAUUUCAUGUCUGUUACGCUUACUCAGGAGUCUUUGGUGAGUUACUUUAUCAAAAGCUUUUUAGAAGUUUUAAGUACACAGUAUCAACCGGGUCAUCUCAACCGAUAUGCUUGUUGACACUCUCAGAGAACUCUAGAAUGUUGAGACAGGACUUACCCUUGCAGAAGUCAUGCUGGUUUUGUUUCAACAACUCUUGUACUUUUAUAUACCUCACAAUUCUAUCUUUAAUAAUGCUUUCCACCAAUUUUCCUGGAACAGAUGUUAAGCUAACUGGCCUGUUAUUUCCCACAUCCCUCCCACCGCCAAAAAAAAAGUUGGCUACUUUAUAAUCCUCAGAGUGUGUCUGAUCUUAUUUUUGUUAAAAGACCAGCAAUUUAACAUUUGAAAUCUUUUAAGAAAUGCCAGGUAGAUGCCACCCAGACACUGUGAUUAGUUAAUUUUUGUUAAUAAGGGCAAUCCCUUGUCAUCACAAUUUGUUUCCGUUUUACCACAUUGUCAAUUCAUGUGCAUAGGCAAACUCUUACCAUCUUGCUAUUCAGUAUCGUUUUCUACUGUAAUGCAAUUUUCACAUUGAAC